UUCUUCAUUUAAACUUAACUUUAAUUCAACAUCGAGGUCGCAAACAUUUUUAUUAAUAUGAUCUUUCCAAAAAUAUUACNCUGUUAUCCCUAAGGUAAUUAAUUUUACUAUUAAUUUAACUAUCAUUCAAUAUUUAACUAUUUUGUAUCAAUCAAACCUAAAUUAAAUUAUUCAUAUAAUAA
rnacentral:rRNA from 1 species